rfam:Aedes albopictus isolate Foshan contig82635, whole genome shotgun sequence.
AGCCUUGUGGAUAAGGCUUCGGAUCGCCAAUCCGGAGACGGCGGGUUCGAUUCCCGU